rnacentral:rRNA from 1 species
UAGCCGUAAACGAUGCUCGCUAGGUGUCGGCCACGGUGCGACCGUUGUCGGUGCCGUAGGGAAGCCGUGAAGCGAGCCACCUGGGAAGUACGGCCGCAAGGCUGAAACUUAAAGGAAUUGGCGGGGGAGCACAACAACGGGUGGAGCUUGCGGUUUAAUUUGGAUUCAACGCCGGAAAUCUUACCGGGACCGACAGCAACAUGAAGGCCAAGCUGAAGACUUUGCCGGAUUAGCUGAGAGGAGGUGCAUGGCGUAGUCGUGU